rnacentral:lncRNA from 1 species
GGCGCCGUCGGAUCCCAGAGCGGUUGGUACAAUCUUAAAGUGUUGCUGCUAGACCUUUCUUCUCUUCUAAUUUACCAAGUGAGGAGUGUUGAAAUAUCCAGCUAUAAUUUAUGGAUUUCUCCUUUCAAUACUAUCAUUUUCAGUGCUUUAUGUAUUUUUGAAGCUCUAUUAUUAGCCUCUCUUGAACCUUCACAGUCCAGCUGAGCUGCCAUCUCUUCAAGGAAGUUUUCCCUGAAGCCUUCAGGUAGGCCUGUGUUUUUCCAUGGUGGCCACAUCAGCACACAGCACAUUUAAUUGGAAGUCUCCACAUAUGGGUUGGUUUUCCUUACUUAAAAUAUGCUUAUCAUCCCUUGGAGCUAUUGACUCCUGCCUCAUGAAGGCUGGUCCUGUCUCUACAGUGAAUAUUGUGCACCUCAGGGUAGAAUGGAGAACACAAGCCUUCAAAUCAGGCAGUCCGGGUUCAGACCCCAAUUCUAGUGCUAAAGAGCCACGUGACUUUAGGCCAAUUGUGUGUGACUUCCCUGAGCCCCAGUCUCUUUGCCUGCAAAAUGAGAGAAAUGAUAACAAUGUCAUCGGUUGUUCUGAAGAUUCUGAGAGGAAUUAGUAGGAGAGGGAACUGAGAAGCUACAGGCAUCUACAGAGCCAUUCAACUGGCAUUUAGGAAGAUGUUGCCCGUCAGAGUCAGACCUUCUUAGCAUCUUCCGGCUGGGCCCAAACUUCCCAAGACCAUUUGGACAAGGUCAUCUCUAUCCCACCCUGGCCUCCUCCCAGAGGAGGA